UUAGGUGUCUUACGACUUAAUAGGGAAUUCGGUAUAAGCCGAAGCGGUCCCGCCACUGUAAGCAAGAGCGAAGUUACAAUGAUGUCACUGCAACAGGAAUUGUUGUGGGAAGGCGUAAUCAGCGAUGACAGCAAGCCAGGAGAACUGCCUAAUGAAU
rnacentral:ncRNA from 1 species